UAGGGGAAGUUCAUUCCACUACCUCAGUGCCAGAACAGAAAAGGGUCUUCUUGUAUACCUUCCUCCCUGAUAGAUGGUGGGACCAGAGCAGUGAUGAGGGUGCGAGGUUCAGUACGAGGAGCGAUAAAAGCUUUAAGGUCAUCAAGAUUAAUAGUCCCCCACUUAUGCGCCAUGGAUGACACGGUGAUGAUCCGAGCCGGAGCAGACCUCUUAAGCAGUUUGUUAGGAGCCUGAUGCCAGUGUGCAGGAUAAAGCCAUGAUACAGCACCAGUGGAGCAGAGAAGGUUAAUGCAAUUCUCAAUGACCCAGCAGUGGCAACUUGAACCCAGACCUUCUGACCAGUAACUUAGUUAACUGUUAAGCCAUGAGAGAUAACUAAAUAAAAAGGGGGAAAUACAUUUUUAGAUUAUUAUUGUCAUUGUGCAGCCCUUUCUAUCUAUCUAUCUAUCUAUCUAUCUAUCUAUCUAUCUAUCUAUCUAUCUAUCUA